rnacentral:rRNA from 1 species
CCUACGGGAGGCAGCAGUGGGGGAUAUUGCACAAUGGGGGAAACCCUGAUGCAGCGACGCCGCGUGAGUGAAGAAGUAUUUCGGUAUGUAAAGCUCUAUCAGCAGGGAAGAAAAUGACAGUACCUGACCAAGAAGCCACGGCUAACUACGUGCCAGCAGCCGCGGUAAUACGUAGGUGGCAAGCGUUGUCCGGAUUUACUGGGUGUAAAGGGCGUGCAGCCGGGAAGACAAGUCAGAUGUGAAAUCCCGCGGCUCAACCGCGGAACUGCAUUUGAAACUGUUUUUCUUGAGUACCGGAGAGGUCAUCGGAAUUCCUUGUGUAGCGGUGAAAUGCUUAGAUAUCACGAAGAACUCCGAUUGCGAAGGCAGCUUACUAAACUGCCACUGACAUUGAUGCUCGAAAGUGUGGGUAUCAAACAGGAUUAGAUACCCCUGUAGUC